rnacentral:tRNA from 1 species
CGAGGGUAACCAAGUCGGCCAAAGGUGCAGGACUUAAGAUCCUGUCUCGAAGGAGUUCAUGGGUUCAAAUCCCAUCCCUCGCA